rnacentral:rRNA from 1 species
GGACUGAGACACGGCCCAGACUCCUACGGGAGGCAGCAGUAGGGAAUCUUCGGCAAUGGACGAAAGUCUGACCGAGCAACGCCGCGUGAGUGAAGAAGGUUUUCGGAUCGUAAAACUCUGUUGGUAGAGAAGAACAAGGAUGAGAGUAAAAUGUUCAUCCCUUGACGGUAUCUAACCAAAAAGCCCCGGCUAACUACGUGCCAGCAGCCGCGGUAAUACGUAGGUGGCAAGCGUUGUCCGGAUUUAUUGGGCGUAAAGCGAGCGCAGGCGGUUUCUUAAGUCUGAUGUGAAAGCCCCCGGCUCAACCGGGGAGGGUCAUUGGAAACUGGGAGACUAGAGUGCAGAAGAGGAGAGUGGAAUUCCAUGUGUAGCGGUGAAAUGCGUAGAUAUAUGGAGGAACACCAGUGGCGAAGGCGGCUCUCUGGUCUGUAACUGACGCUGAGGCUCGAAAGCGUGGGGAGCGAACAGGAUUAGAUACCCUGGUAGUCCACGCCGUAAACGAUGAGUGCUAAGUGUUGGAGGGUUUCCGCCCUUCAGUGCUGCAGCAAACGCAUUAAGCACUCCGCCUGGGGAGUACGACCGCAAGGUUGAAACUCAAAGGAAUUGACGGGGGCCCGCACAAGCGGUGGAGCAUGUGGUUUAAUUCGAAGCAACGCGAAGAACCUUACCAGGUCUUGACAUCCUUUGACCACUCUAGAGAUAGAGCUUCCCCUUCGGGGGCAAAGUGACAGGUGGUGCAUGGUUGUCGUCAGCUCGUGUCGUGAGAUGUUGGGUUAAGUCCCGCAACGAGCGCAACCCUUAUUGUUAGUUGCCAUCAUUUAGUUGGGCACUCUAGCGAGACUGCCGGUGACAAACCGGAGGAAGGUGGGGAUGACGUCAAAUCAUCAUGCCCCUUAUGACCUGGGCUACACACGUGCUACAAUGGACGGUACAACGAGUUGCGAAGUCGCGAGGCUAAGCUAAUCUCUUAAAGCUUCUCUCAGUUCGGAUUGUAGGCUGCAACUCGCCUACAUGAAGCCGGAAUCGCUAGUAAUCGCGGAUCAGCACGCCG